GGUGCGUGUGGGCAUGUCGGAUCCCUGCUCUGGCAGCGACGGCAUGCAGCGCGUUCCUCCUCAGCUGAUGUUGGUCCAAGCGUGUAUCUGCCUUGGCCGCUANUGGUUUUCUGUGUUGCAUACCAGUUUGUAGGNACCCUUUGUCCCAAACUUCCAUUUUCCGUCAUGCACAGCACCCGUAUUGGGUCGCGGUGUGGGGCGGACCACGAAGACCCGCCGAGUUCCGCGUACCGCACGUUGGAAAUAGCGUGCANACGUUGGCCCCCGGCGACGCGCUCGAUCUCUUGGAUGCGGAAAAUCAUGUGGCAUGUGGUCCUCGACCGCUAUCUGCCCAMAAAUGAGCGUUUCACGCUUCUUGCGAANGANAGCNGNCCCCGUCNCGANNGGGCCCUUGNGGNUCCCNUCNUACGGUGUCNGNNUNNGUGANGAA
rnacentral:misc_RNA from 1 species